UGUAGGAGCUGCCGAAGGCUGCGAUCUGUUGAUGUUGUUUUUAAAAGGCAACAGCAAAAGAUCGCAGCCUGCGGCAGCUCCUACA
rnacentral:misc_RNA from 1 species